AAGUAUUUUUCAUGAGGCCCAAUUGAGGGCCAAUAUAUGGUACAUGAUGUAGUCCCCGAAGUCUUCAGUCAAUAGAGUUUGUUGGCUGGAGACUUCAAAUUGAAUCCAUGUAUGGGCCGAAGUGGCGGUUGUUCAGAGACGGUAUUUGUAUACCCUGCACUAAAGCUUUGUAGGUGAAGCUUUGCAAGUGAAGCUUUGAAGCUAGAGCUCUGUAAAUGACGCUUUUAAAGCUCAAGCUCUGUAAAUGAAGCUUUUGAUGUCGACAUGUGUCACGCUGUGAUUGGCACGUGUCGCGCUAUGAUUGGCUUCUGAUGUCGACACGUGUCGCGCUGUGAUUAGCCUCCUGGUUAGAGGGAAACUCUUCUGGGUCCUUGACGGUAUAACGUUAAUGGUGCUCAGUAGUUUCGAGAUUGGUCAUGUAUGGUACAAACAGUGCUCUCCUAAGUUCCCGAGUGAGGGAAGCUCUUCGGUUGGGGACUUGCAAGAUCCAAGCCAUUGAGUAAUCAUGAAACUUCUAAGUACCGAAGUGUGGUAUCAUUUUCACUUGCCUUACCUGUCUUAUAUGUAGAUGUGGCAUCUUCUCUGGAAGUACUUUUCCUCCAUCCAGGGGUGGUAUCUUUAACCGAUGAAGAUGCACAAGGUAAUGUAUCAAUUUCACUUGAAGCUUUACUUGUAGUUUCGGGCUUGGUCAAGUGCGAUACAAACCCUAUAGUAGGAGUCCCCCAAGUCACCGAGCUAGGAGAUUUACCGAAGGAGGUAACAUACAAGGUAAGCAAUCAAACU
rnacentral:lncRNA from 1 species